GAUAAACGCUGGCGGCGUGCUUAACACAUGCAAGUCGAACGAAGUUUUUCUUUCGGGAGGAACUUAGUGGCGGACGGGUGAGUAACGCGUGGGUAACCUGCCCUGUACAGGGGGACAACAGCUGGAAACGGCUGCUAAUACCGCAUAAGCCCUUAGCACUGCAUGGUGCAUAGGGAAAAGGAGCAAUCCGGUACAGGAUGGACCCGCGUCUGAUUAGCCAGUUGGCAGGGUAACGGCCUACCAAAGCGACGAUCAGUAGCCGAUCUGAGAGGAUGUACGGACACAUUGGGACUGAGACACGGCCCAGACUCCUACGGGAAGAAGCAGUGGGGAAUAUUGCACAAUGGAGGAAACUCUGAUGCAGCGACGCCGCGUGAGUGAAGAAGUAUUUCGGUAUGUAAAGCUCUAUCAGCAGGAAAGAAAAUGACGGUACCUGACUAAGAAGCACCGGCUAAAUACGUG
rnacentral:rRNA from 1 species